rnacentral:misc_RNA from 1 species
UCCGAGUUGACCCCGGCAGUCUCUUAUGAGUCCCCACCAUAACGUGCUGGCAACAUAAGACGAGGGUUGCGCUCGUUGCGGGACUUAACCCAACAUCUCACGACACGAGCUGACGACAACCAUGCACCACCUGUAUACAGACCUUGCGGGGGAACCAUCUCUGGAACUUUCCUGUACAUGUCAAGCCUUGGUAAGGUUCUUCGCGUUGCAUCGAAUUAAUCAGCAUGCUCCGCCGCUUGUGCGGGCCCCCGUCAAUUCCUUUGAGUUUUAGCCUUGCGGCCGUACUCCCCAGGCGGGGAACUUAAUGCGUUAGCUGCGGCACAGAGGACGUGGAAGUCCCCCACACCUAGUUCCCACCGUUUACGGCGUGGACUAC